UGGGGCAAUAUCCAGCCCACAACCUCUGACUACCGCUAAUGGAGCUUCUGUGGAUUACACAACACCAGAAAGAGAGCACUCCUUUUCAUCCACCCCCGCACCAGAGAGCACCGGGGCAAUAUCCACUCCAGAAUCACUGACUACACCUAGUGAAGAGAGAGAGAC